UUGUUUUUGAAAACAGGAACUGGUUUAUUUGAGUUUGUUGUUGUCAAAGUCAGAGAGCCGUGUCUCUCUACAGUCAGAGGUUUUUGUACGACCACUCAGUCAGUUUGUAUCACUGUGGUACACGUUCGGUGGAGGAACCAGACUGGAAUUUGGAAGUGAUACUCGUCCCACCCUGACCGUGCUGCCCCCCUCCAGCGAGGAGCUGCAGCAGGGGAAGGCCACGCUCAUGUGCCUGGCCAACAAGGGCUUCCCCUCAGGCUGGAGUCUGGCCUGGAAGGUGGACGGCAGCAGCAGCAGCAGCAGCUGGGAGGAGACCAAGAGCCCCGGGGUGCUGGGGAAGGACGGCCUCUACAGCUGGAGCAGCACCCUGAGGCUCAAUGCAGACCAGUGGGGGAAGGUGGGCUCUGUGACCUGUGAGGCCACCCAGGGCUCCCAGACUCUGGUCUCAGAGACACUGAGGAGAGACCAGUGUUAGUCCUGAGCUGACUCACUGGGACUCUGCUGCUGGUUUUACUCUGCUACUGCUCUCACUCUGCUCUCUCUAACACUGUCUCUCUCUCUUUUAUUUCACGUUUCACUAGAAACAUUUACCAGCUUCUCGCAGUGUUUCAAUAUUGUUUCUGUGUUUCCAGAUAAUAAAAAUCUGUUCAUCAAA